UACAGAGGGUGCAAGCGUUAUUCGGAAUCACUGGGCGUAAAGUGCACGUAGGUGGCUUGGUAAGUCGGAUGUGAAAUCCCGGGGCUCAACCCCGGAACUGCAUUCGAUACUGCCAUGCUAGAGUACUGGAGAGGAGAUUGGAAUUUACGGUGUAGCAGUGAAAUGCGUAGAUAUCGUAAGGAAGACCAGUGGCGAAGGCGGAUCUCUGGACAGUUACUGACACUGAGGCACGAAGGCCAGGGGAGCAAACGGG
rnacentral:rRNA from 1 species